AUGGCCUAUGCUAGCUUGAGUUCCUUCCCCUGUCCCAGUCUGCUGGAAGUGUCUCUGCUGCCUCCCCAAGACGCUGGAAGGUCACCCACAUCGAUGCUCUUUCCGCCACUUCCACAAGCCACCAGAUUGAAAAAGAAUGGAAAAGGAAGAGAAGAAGACAAUGCUGAAGCACAAGAGCAAGAGAGGCUAGCUAUACUUAAAGCAAGGAACAGCGAGGAUUCUGAACGAUUUGGGUCCUUUAAAUUUUCAAAUCUAAAUGAAGAUUUUGGAGGCCGAGCCAGUCAGGGACAAAAUAAAAGGAAGAAGGGACCCUGA
rnacentral:rRNA from 1 species